rnacentral:rRNA from 1 species
UACGGAGGGAGCUAGCGUUGUUCGGAAUUACUGGGCGUAAAGCGCACGUAGGCGGCUUUGUAAGUUAGAGGUGAAAGCUCGGGGCUCAACUCCGGAACUGCCUUUAAGACUGCAUCGCUUGAAUCCGGGAGAGGUGAGUGGAAUUCCGAGUGUAGAGGUGAAAUUCGUAGAUAUUCGGAAGAACACCAGUGGCGAAGGCGGCUCACUGGACCGGUAUUGACGCUGAGGUGCGAAAGCGUGGGGAGCAAACAGG